GCAGCGGCAGUCGCCGUGCCUGCACGCCUCCUCCUCCUCAUCCCUCCCUUCCAAGCGAGCGAGCGGACGAGCGAUUCGGGAAGCGCCUCGCGCGUCUCCUCCGCCGCCGCGCCGCCUCGGGCUCGCUUGGUGCAGAUCGGGACCCGACGCCCGCGCCGCCGGGACCGGAUCCCGCCUUGCACCAAGUGAAUCGGAGCCGGCGCAGCGAUAAUAGCCCAGCACCCCGGCCGCGCCGCCGCCGCCGUGCGUACGGUCGCCGCCGCGGCCGCCGCUCUCUCGCGCUAUUGAUUGGUUACCGAGUCGUUUAGCCUGCUUGUUGCCUGCGUUUCUAGGAUGGAUCGUGAUGGUUGUUGGUUUGCUGUGAUUCUGUAGCGCCGUGGAGGUUGAUAGGGGGUGGCGUGCGGAUCUCUGCCUAGGUUUAGCGAUCCGGAUCUGGAUCUGGCGCGUAAUUUUGGUAGUUUGAUCCGAUUGAUUGGAUGAUGCCGUUCGAAUAAGCAGGAUCCAUCCUUUUAGAUUACUCAUCUGUCAUCAAGGCAAAUUUCUGUGAUUUCGGGAGGCUGGGAUUUCGCGUGUGUGGUGUAAAAUUGGUUGGUCAUGUCGUCAAUAUUGUCCUGGAUCACGGGGAUGCCGUGUCUGGAUAGCCUGUCUUGAUUGAACUGUGCAGAGAUUAAUUGAUCCAGUUGUUAUCUGACUGCUAUUACUGCUUGGGAUGUGCUAUGAGCUCUGUAAGGUAUAAAUUAUGGUGCAGCAAGCAUUCAAUUGCUCUCGUAUGCUUUAUUGGGUGCAUUUGCAGUAGUCUGUAGAGUGGUCUUUGUGAUGCACUAAUUCUGAAACUUAUAGCCUGCCAGCAUGUAUCUGCCUUGUUUUUUUAUUUCAAAAUUUGGUUGUGUUGAUUGAUUCUCAUACAUAUCGCUGUCAUUGUUAGUGGUUGUGUGCACGCAAGAUCCAUGGGAGGCUUGUCUGGGAAGCAUAUGCCUGUCACCAAAAUAAUUUGCUUUGCCUGAAUGCUUAUGAGCCUACCCCACUAGACUAAACUUGGCCAACACGGUGUAAUUAGGUGGGAUAUAAAGUUCAAAUGCAAUCAAGACAAACCAUUUCCUCUUUUUUUUUUAACUAGUCCCAGCUGUAAGAGGAAAGGAAGUGUAACGAGUAACGGAAGCCAUUGUUGGGGUUGUAAUGUUAAGCUUUAAUGACUUUGUCUUGUUACUUCGUGGAUAUCGGAUUACAAAGUAAUUAUCUCAUUUAGUUGUUAGGCUGGCUUACCUUUGGUGGAUUUGUUGUAACUUAUUAAAUGGAAUCUGGUUAGAAAUUACAAUUCUGAGACAGUCAAUUGUUCGACUCUAUUGAAAAGUAGACCUAAAGAGUAAAGCCAGGUACACCAAAUAAGCUGAGGGUAGCAAGGCUGGCUUGAAAUGAAUUCCAAAUUCCUAAACUAGGGUUAUUAGCAAAUAGAUGCUUAACAGCUUGACGACAAACUACUUUCAUGGUUUAAUUGUAUUCCAUCAGUUACGUGAUUGAAAAGAUGGCCCUAUAUGUGUCUAACUUGUCUGAUAACGUAACGAAUGCAUGUGUUUGAUGGUACCUUUCCUUUUUAUGCUAAAUUCAGUUGGAAUGUUGCUCUGUUUUUGGUAGUUUAUUCAAGUAUUAUUCAUGGUUUUGUUUGACGUUACUAACUUCAUUCUGGUGGACAUUUCAGAACAUCCCAUUCUUCAAGAAAGUUCCAGUUUUACCCUCGACGAACAGUUGCAAGAAGAUAUGAUGAAAGAGUUUGAUGUUUGAUCUUUUUGGGAUCAUUUGAUGCUUGAUGGUUGUGCAUAUGUAAUUCUGUGUCGAUUUCUAUAUAUGGGAAAUAAAUAUAAGAGUUGAUUUUUCUGGAUGGAUGUUGUGAUCUGCUUUGUUUAAAUGGUAUAUCGAUAAGUAUCAGGAUUUGGUUGAACUGUAGGGCCAUUGAUUGGUCUAGUUGUGUAGGUAGCUUGCUAGAUGGACCUUUUUCUAUAAACUGCAUCGGUAUCAACCAACUUUCCCUGUUACAUACGACUUCCUAUGAGGUGAUGUUUAGUGGAGUCCUUUUUGGAUGAACCCUAGAGCCUAGAAUCAUGGUGAAAUUGUUGCAUGCAUGUGUACUACUUAGCAUUAUGGCAGCUAGGAUUUACAGGGGAAUAACUGUUUCUGGGCAAACCGGAAAUAUGGCUUGUUUCUCUUAUUAGCUGUAAACUCCACCCAAUUUCUACUUUCCAGCCUCCUGAACCAGUCCUGUUUGAUAUGUGAAUUUGUCAAACUUAAUUUGCCCUUUGAUUUAAAUUUACAGGGGCACAAUCCUGUUGGCAGUCUGACUGUUCAGCUAGUGCCUGGGAACUGCUCCUAAUUUCCAGCCCCAAAGUGGUCUGGUUUAGUAUUUGAAAUAUCAUUCUCUUCCCAGAUUUAAAGUUUGAAAUAGACAUUAGAAGCAACUUUUAGGCGUUUUUGGGUAAUGGGAUAGGGGAUUGGGGGUACCAUGAUUCUCACUGGUUUAGCUGAAAAAGCGGUGCUGAGCAGCUAGUUACUGCAGUUUCUUUUAACCUGGCAGCAUCAUGCUUAGGAUUUAAGCUAAGGCUCAUAUGAUUGAGAUUCCAGUUGUCGGAGAUCCGUAUCAUUACAGAAAUAAUUACGUGCUAUUUCUACUGAAACAGAUCCACGUAGUGGAAUCAUUUAAUACCUCUUUUGCCUUUCCAGGACCAGGACGUAUAUUUUUAACUGUUAUGUGUGUUGAAACAUUUUGUCUGUAAACUUAACAAACACAACCCUCAUCAUGAUUUUUGAGCAUGCUACUAUAUACAUUUGUUGCCUUGGUGGUGUUGUAGUGCCCAAGUGGGCAUUGGGUUCUUUUUUUUUCCCCUCUCUUUGAAAAGAGGGAGUCAGUGAUUGGGUGUCCAGGAAUAUAUGCUCGGCGAUCAAGAUUCUUUUUCCGUCAGGAAGAGGAGGGAAGAGACAAAGUAGCCGAUUGGCACUAGGUGGGUCGACUGGUCGUCCAUGGCUGGCAUUUGAAUUUGUUCCAGGAAAAGGGGAUUCCCUCCAUGUUUGAGCUGGAGCUGAUGAGUGAGGCGGAGUAAUUUUUAGUGGUUGGAAUAUUCGGCUAAAGCCACGACAGCCGCCCAGGAGAACAUGUUCUGAAAAGCUGUCGAGGAAUAUAAAUAUCUGAUGAGCCUGACACCCCUGGAUUGACUUGAAUGAGCAGACGCAGAGCAUGGUGGAAUUCCAGCUCUGGGUAGAUCAGAUGGUACAUUGGUACCAUGGUCCAGCUACCAGCUUUGGUGGUGGUAAAAGUUUUCACAGCUUUACCUCAUCUAGUCGUCUUUAUACGUUCUCAUACUAUAUGCUGGUUAAUAUUCUGUUUCAUCCUAUAACAAUUUAUUUAUUUAAGCAUAAUGAAUUUACUUUCUCCAGCACGAGUAGUUAUUUUCAUGUGGCACUGGGGGCAUGCAUGGCACCACUUGAGCAAAUGGGUCAGCACUCAGCAACUCACCACCCACAGUGGUUACAGUUGGAUCAUGAUCCUGCUGGGCGCUGUAGAAAGCCACAGCUCCAGCCAGGCGGGGAAGGAAGGAAUACAUGACAAACUUGACAAGGACGUAGUACUUGAUGGGAAAUCCGUAUGCAGCUGCGAUCAAACAUGGUGGGCUCUGGCGCUCAGUUGAUCGAGCUGGUGUCCUUUGGCCUCCAGCGAUCAUCAAAAGCCUGGGCCGCUGCUCGUGCUCGUGCUCAUCAGGGAUCAGGCCUGGUCCCCUGCCUCCCAUGCAAAAAGCUUUCAACUCAGUCGCCUCCCGUUUCAUUCGAAUCCGUGAAUUCCACGGGAAAUUAUCUUCUCUUUUCAAGAGAUGUUGCUGUUUCCCUGUAAAUUACUGCUGUGCAGAUGCAGCCGUUGCGAGCACCCUCGUCUGUUUCGUUUCGUCCUGCGCAGGUGUCGCCUCUGGCUUUGUUUUUGUAGUUGUCCAAAUUUGAUGCUGCCGAGUUUAAACAUUUGAUGGAAAUUUGGAUUGAGUUCAUGUGU